UGUAGUGAGCCGAAAUCACACCACUGCACUCCAGCCUGGGUGAUGAGACUCUCGCUAAAUAAAUAAAAUUGGUAGCAAGUCAUUGGUCCAAAGAGCAGCCAGCUCCCUGUUAUUACACACCAGACUAUGAUAGGACAUUUCUCUUUCCUUGUCUUGCUGUUUUCCACUCUUCUUUCUGCCCCAUUUCUGCCUUAGACUUGCCAGUAGUUUUCUGCUCAGCUUUACUUGGAGAAGUAACAACAGCCAAUAUGCUUCAUACCCUACAAAAGGACAUGUCCCUCUUUCUUUCUACGUGCCCAGAAAGGGCAUUUUGGAGACAGUUGGCUAAGAGGAACUGGAAGUAGAAAGAGAGAAAGAUAUGAAGAGCUUGCGUGAGGCCUAGAAUUCUAGUUCUUUGCCCUCAGAAUAAUAAAAGGGGUUUGCUGCCACUGUUUUAGAGGUUCUAGAAGAUUGGUCAAGCUUUCCUCUUAAUGAUUCAAGGCUGGAUGAUGAACCAAAUACAUUACCCACUUCCUUUGUGUUGUAAGUAAGCUCCAUUGUAUGUGAUGGAACUUGAAUUAUAUCCUAAUAGUAAAUGAAGCAAAGGGAAAAAGUAGUUGAGGGAGACAAAAUGAACAGUCUUUCCACAAAUCUAAUAUUUCACUUCUUUAUGGGUGCUUCUUGCACCUCACUUCUGGCAGAGCGGAGGUGGGUAUUAGAUCUGGCCAAUUACCAGUGCCCUGGAGGUGGCCCAGUGACUUAGAGAAGGCUGGUUUAAUGGAAUCUUACCUGGCCAUUCAGCAUCAGAAUUGCUUCUGGCCUUAUUGCCAUGCUUGAACCUGACAUCCAUUCUCAUUGGGUUUGCUUAAGAGUAGGGCAAGCUGUAGGUGCUGUGUAGCAUCUGCCUCAGGGAUGAGCCUCUUGGCUUUAGAGCAGAAACCUUGGUAAGGGCAUGUAUUUAACCACCUGCCUCUAAGAAGAAAUAGAGGCAGUUUCCGAACAGGUGUACAAAUCUAAAUGUUUUCCUUAGAAAUCUGAAUGCCACCUGCCAUGACAAGCUGAUCUCCCUUCUGCUUCUUAAAUGGCACACUAACUUCCUGACACAAGUGAAAAGUAUAACUAUAGAACUGUUCAAAACUAGAAAAACAUGUUGAUACCAAGUAGCUUAAUAUAAUGGAAUACGAACUCGGUGUCACCAGGGACAUGAUGGGGUAACUUGCCAAUAUCCCAAGUGAAGCUCAAGUUCUUGUACCAUAGUGGCUGCCUCUCGUCUUGAAGGACUUGCUCUCUAGAGAGGAAGCUCAUUCCAUGUUCAUGCAAUGUUACAGUCAACAACUAGUUCUGUGGCAACAAACUGCCUGAUCGGAAUACUGGCUUCCCUACUUACUAGCCGUUUGAGUCAGUACAAAACACUUAACUUUUCUGAGCUUUGUUUUCUUCAUCAGCAAAAUUAGAGCCGUAAGAGUAAUGAUUUCAUAGGGUUGUUGACAAGAUUGAAUGAAAAAAAAAAUGUAUUUAAAGCUCUUAGAAUAGACUCCCUGACUGUCUGAGGAUAGACUGCCAUCAUGAAUGACAUGGUAACUAUCUGAACUAGAAAGUUCGUGACCAACUGAUGACUUCAGAGGAAACAAAUGGUCAUUGAUGUCCUUCACCCUGGGAAGGCAACAGUACCGUACCUAAGACAGAAAUUCGGGAAAAACUAGCCAAAAUGUACAAGACCACACUGGAUGUCAUCUUUGUACCUGGAUUCAGAACUCAUUUUGGUGGUGGCAAGACAACUUUCUUUGGCAUGAUUUAUGAUUUCUUGGAUUGUGCAAAGAAACAUGAAUCCAAACAUGGACUUGCAAGACACGGUCUGUAUGAGAAGAAAAAGACCUCAAGAAAGCAAUGAGAGGAACACAAGAACAGAAUGAGGAAAGUCAGGGGGACUGCAAAGGCCAAUGUUGGUGUCGCCAAAAAGAAAUGAAGUGUCUAGCAGUGAGCUGGAGAUUGGAUCACAGCUGAAGGGGUAAAGGCGUUGCAAUGAUGUUAUCUGUGGCCAUUGUGGAUUUUUCACAGGAAGAUUAAUAAACUAAAAACUUUUAGGUGGAAGAAAAAAGCUCUUAAAAUAAUGACUGAUAUAAUAAAUAUGCUUAAUGGAUAGAUGUCAGUUUUUCCAAUAAUUUAUUAUUAUUAUUAUUAUUGUAAUUAUUAUAGUUAUUAUGACAAUGUCUUGAAUCCAUAAAAAACAAACCUAAUCUUUUUUUCAUAUGACAACUUAUUCCCUGUUUGAAAAGUGCUAAAGUCCUCAUUUGCACAAAGUCUGCUUGUCAAUUUAAUUCUACGGAAAUGGCAAAAAGUUGUAGAUGACGGUAAGUUCAAGGCACUGAGGUAGGUUUAGUAUACUCAAGCCCAUGUGGGGAACAUACAGUAAGAUAUUUUUUAAUAUCUGAGUAAUGAUGCCUUCUUCCCAGGAAUUUCCCCAAAAGAGAGGUUUUUAAAGAGUAGAAGUAAAAUAAGUCUAAAAAGAAAAUGGUUGGGUUUUUCUUUGCCGGCUUAAAGGUAAUCCUUACUUUAUGAUGCAUAAAAAAUUUUGCUUUUUUGUGUGUCAUUUAUGUGAUAAAAUCUUAGAGAUUUUGAAAUGCGAGUGUGACUUCUUUCAGAAUCAUCCCAAAUGUACAAAGCAAGCUGGAUAUCCUCAUUUGCUGAUAGAUGGUGUUGCAUGAAUAGCCUCAUAACUUUCAGAGACCAUGGACGAUCUGGCCCGAAAAGUGCCCAUCUGUGGCAGCGGCUCAGGGAGGCCCCCAGCCUCUGCAGACCUUCCCACCGCUCCCCAGCCAUGAUGCCCAGGAACUUCUCCAGGAAUUUGGUUUUGGCGGGCCCAGGGGCUGGGAGAGAAAUCCAAGUGCCUAGUCUGAGGGGGUUAUAACCCCAUAAAUAUGUUUAUGGACCAUUUUAUUGCCGACUUCUGGCUUUAAAGGAGGAUCCACUGUUUUGUUUGAGAAUAAAAAUCAGUUUCUCUCAGACAGUCACGCAGGAGUUUGUUCCCUGGGAAGAUGACAGACCAAAUCUUCAUUAAACUGUUGAGGAAUGAGGGCGAGCAGGGCUUCCUCUGGCCCUUCCCACAGUGGUUGGCAGCAGUUAGGCUAGGAUGUGUGGGCCCCUCAGAGCCUUUUGUUUGGUUUCUAUGGCUCUAACCUCAAUUAGCUGCUCUGCAUGGAGAGGAGAGACAAUGCAGCUUUUAACCCAAGUCCAACGGCUUCAGUAUGGGUCUCUUUUUUCCCCCCUCUAUCCAUGGCUGGAUUUAGGCCUAGAGGCCUUCUUUGUGAAGCGAUUUGAGGGUCUCCAGUGAAAGUUCAUUGUUUCUAUUGGUGGGCAGCGGAUGAGGGUAUGGGAGGAAAAUGUCUAGGGUCUAACAACUUUGCCUGAUACUGGUUCGUGGCUCUGUCCCCUCCCUCCCAAUAGUAUUGAACUGUGGUCAUGCAGAAGUCUGUGCUGGAGUCACUGACACAUCAGAUCCAGUCCUGGCUCUGCCUUUUCUAGGCAGUUUUCCAGCCAGUGAAAUGGGGUUGGUCCAACCCCCUAGAACCUCUGAGUGGAAUAAUUAAAAGAACAAAUGUAAAGAAGUUAGCGCAGUGUCUGGUGCAUAAUUCUUCUAUCCACGGUUUCCAAAGACACAUGGGGCUAAAGUCUCUUUCUUGCUUCCAGCAAGUACCCAAAGCAUCUGUGGCAGUCAUAAAGAAAUAAUACAGUCUAGCAGUCACUGAGAAAGGGUGGUUUUUUAUCUCAGGAAGAGAAAAGCUUGAAUUGCUUUAGCCUUGAGGUAUGUACACAUGCCGCUGCACGUGCACACACAAGCCUGCACACGUAUACACCGGUUUCUCAGGUGCUUUUGACCCAUAGCUGGAUCGCUGAGUACCACCUGCAUGUUUUGCCCCAUGGUUUUGGUGGUGCCAUUUCAGAGUGGACCAUGGGAAAUUAUUUAGCAGACCCCAAAUGUGAGCACAGCUCUUAGUCAUAGUCUCUUCUGCUUCGUUUCUUUCUCUAACUUAAUCACUAAGCAGCUUGUUAUGGCUCGUUCUCCAGAAAGGUAGAGAGAAGUCUGUUGCAUAGUCCUGACUGUAAGGCCAGCUAAUCCUUGGUCAUGCAGGACUUCUGAGUAGGUGCUAAUAGAUGGUGUGAAAGGAGGUAAUUUUUGCCCUGAGGGAGCUAAGCUAGGAAAAUAAAACUAGCACACCUGCAAUAAUUAGCCACCAAUUAAGUGCUAAAUCAUGUGCUACUGACUGUUGGAGUGCAGUGUGGGUGAGGGGAAAAUGAGGGUGGACACUGGCUCUCUUAGUGCUUUGGCAAGAUUCAGCUGUGCCUUGCUGAACAAUUGAGCCAUGUUGUAAAAAAUACAUUUUUAAUAAAUAUGUGACAGCUUUUCCCACUUCUUUUUAAAAAUAUUAGAUCAGAAUUUUAAGACAUUUUAUUAUAAAACACUACCAUCAUGUAAAUGAAAUUUUAAGAAAGAAAAAAGACACCAUCUCUAAAUCCUAAAGCCCUUACACAGUUCAUUUAUCAAAGACCAUAACUGAGUCUCUACAGUGUCCAGCUCAGUGCCUAGUACACAAGGGGAGUGUUUGUGAGUGGCCACCACGACUGUUUACCAUCACAAGUAUCCAGAUAUGGCUUUGUAAAGGGUGCCAGACCAGCACCUCUCACAUGCCAGGUUCUCCACUGCCUUACUGCAUUGAAUUCUUCUCACGGUGCCGAGAGGAGGUGGUGGUAUGCUGAGGCUUGGCAUGGUUGAAUAAGCAGGGGAGUGCUAAGGAGCAUCCCACGUCAGAGUGUGUAGAUGUUUUUAUUAGGCCAUAGAGCCUCCCUGAGAUACGACAGGAUAGACAGGUGGAUACCUAGGAUAAAGUACUUCUCCCCCAACAUGGGAUGGUGUUAAUAUUCCCCCUCUCCCUCCUGUGGAGGAAGAUUACCCUUACCCUACAAAGGGCAUUUUCAUUCCUAACAUAUCAGCGCCAACAAGUCCUGUGGUUUCUGCCCGCCUGAUUUUCAGGUAAAGCAGGCUUACCUGUUGGUACUUGUGCAGCUUUGAAGAGUCGGCUGUGGGCCCAGCUGGUCUAAGACAAAUUAAAGCUGACUCAGGUUCUCCUGUCUAGGAAUUCCCCCACCCCUUCUCUGUCUUUCCCACUAAACGGUUUAAGCCGUAGGUAGGCUGGUUGAUCCAUACUUUUGGUCUGAGUUCACUGUAUGUUUUAGUUUCCUAGGGCUGCUGUCACAAAUUACCACAAACUGGAUGACUGAAAACAACAGAAAUGUAUUCUCUCACAGUCUUGGAGGCUAGAAAUCCAAAGUCAGCAUGCCAGUGGGCUUUCUCCUAGUUGCUGGCAGUCCUUGGCUUUCCUUGGCUUGUGGCAGCGUAACUCCAGUCUCUGUCUCCAUCUUCCCAUGAUGUUUUCCCCUGUGUCUUUAUGUCUCUUCUUAUAACGACACCAGUGGCUGGAUUUAGGGUUCACCCUAAUCCAAUAUGACCUCGUCUUCACUUGAUUACAUCUGUAAACACCCUGUUUCCAAAUGAAGUCACAUUCAUAGGUUCUGGGAAGUAGGACUUUGACAUCAUAGUCCAUUUUGUGUUAAUUUAUAAAGAAAAAGAUAUUUGGCUCAUGGUUCUUCAGGUUGUACAAGAAGCAUGGUGCUGGCAUCUGCAUCUGUUGAGGGCCUCAGGCUGCUUCCACUUAUGGUAGGAAGCACAAGGGAAGCUGGCAUGCGCAAAAGUCACAUGGUGAGAGAGGCUGUGAGAGAGUGAGAGGGGAGGUGCCGGGCUUUUCUUGACAGACAGCUCUGGUGGGAACUAAUAGAAUGAAAACUCACUUGCCCCCUGGAGGGCAUUGAUCUAUUCAUGAGGCAUCUGCCCCAUUACCCAUACAUCCCCCAUUAGCCACCCCCCUUCAGCACUGGGGAUCCAAUUUCAGUAUGAGAUUUGGAGAGGACAAACAUCCAGACUGUAGCAGACAUCAGCCUGUUUUCCAACGGACACAGUUUAACUCAGUACACCGAGUGAACCCUCAAAGCACCUCAGGCCAAGUCAAGGUGAUAGCAAUGCUGGUACAUCUUUCUUUUGGAGAAAACUGAUGUCUUCUUACCUCUCUGUAGAUAUAGUUCAAGGCACUGAGGUACGUUUAGUAUACUGAAGCCCAUGUGGGGAACAUACGGUAAGAUAUUUUUAAUAUCUGAGUAAUGAUGCUUUCUUCCCAGGAAUUUCCCCAAAAGAGAAGUUUUUAAAGAGUAGAAGUAAAAUGUUCCUCAACCGUGGCUUACCAGUAGUACUUAUUUUCAAAAUAGCUGACUGGGAUAAAUGAACCUGGGAGCAAAUCAUGCCCUUUUCCAUUCCUACAGCCAAUUAAAUGUGAAUACAUGAAUGGAGAUUUUGUUUUGUUCACUUCUAUAUUCCCAGUAUCUUGAACUAUUAAAGCCACCAUCAGCUUGAGACAAAAUACAGCCAAUCAUCCCUGAAGUUAUUCACUUGAUAUUGAUUGAGCAGCUGCAGUUUGCCAGGCACUGUGCUUGGUGUGGGGGAAAACCAUGAUGAAACUAGUAGUGAUUACAACUUACUGAGUAUCUACUAUUUGUCAGACACUGAAACAUACUCUUUGCAUACUUUAUCAUGAAUUCUCGUAAAAACUAUAAUGUAGGCUUUAUUAUCUCCAUGUUAUAGAUGAAAAAAA